GUCCACCUGGCUUUCUGUGGCACUUGACUUGAGCAGUGGUGGCACAGCUCAUAAAAGGCCUUCAGCAGCCACUCUCGGGCUCUUUAUGAGCUGUGCCUCCACUGCUCAAGUCAAGUGCCACAGAAAGCCAGGCGGAC